UACGUAGGGUGCAAGCGUUGUCCGGAAUUAUUGGGCGUAAAGAGCUCGUAGGCGGUUUGUCGCGUCGAAUGUGAAAACCCGGGGCUCAACCCCGGGCCUGCAUUCGAUACGGGCAGACUAGAGUUCGGUAGGGGAGUCUGGAAUUCCUGGUGUAGCGGUGAAAUGCGCAGAUAUCAGGGGGAACACCGGUGGCGAAGGCGGGACUCUGGGCCGAUACUGACGCUGAGGAGCGAAAGCGUGGGGAGCGAACAGG
rnacentral:rRNA from 1 species